AGCCUUAGGCAAAUUUUAUUUCUCCAAGAAGAAAGAGUCAUAUAAAUCAGUGCUUAAAAUUAAAAUUAUAAACAGCUAACAUUUUGGCAGUCUGAGGAUGUAAAACUGGCUUUCAUUUGCAAGACCUACUUAAAAGUCUUUCACAUUGUAUAUUUUUUUUAAAAAAAAAUUGGCACAUAUUUCCAUGAUGCUUUCUAAAGAAUGUCUUCAUUUAGAUUUGACUCAUCAGUGAAUCUAGAGAAGAAGCUCUUCCACAGGAGAAUAUCCAGCAGCAUCUGGAAAAGAAAGACAGAGUAUUAUUUACCUAACAGAUUUCAUUGGAACUAAGUGAAACAAAGAGGAAGCCAAGCCUGGGCCAUGUCUACAAAACCCUGAUGACAGAGUGAACAGCAGAUAGAGGGGAACUGAGGCAAGAUGCUGGCAUGUUCAGGGAAAAGAAUAACAGCAAAACCAACAAGGCAGUCUCAGUAGGAAGAAGGACCUCCACCAAAGAGUGAGCACUAGAGGUUUUGGAGGUUUGCAGGAAGAAAAGCUGUGAAAUAUUAAAAAAAAAUACCGUGGGAGCAUCACCAGACUAGAGAACAUGUUAGAAUUUGGGGGCAACACUGAAUACCUUCAUGAAGUUACUGGUCAUGAGUCAAAGUGAGAACAAAGCUUAGAUACCCUAGCAGAAAUCUUGUCUGGAUGAGAUGCUGGUGGUUGAUCAUUAGAUUCAUCACCUAGCCCAGGGCUGUUGGUUGAUGCCUGAGACCCAUGGAGGAAGGGACAAAGAAUCAUAUGUAAAAAAGCAAAAGAAAACACUGCACCACUAAAAGCUUUGAAAUAUUAACACUACUUUUAAAGCAUGUAAACAAAAGAUGAGAAGAUGACCGUCUCUCCCCAUCCCACCGCUCAUCAUGGAGCACCUCAAAGAAUCUCCUGCUUUGGCACUGGUGGAAUUUUCAGCCUUACCAGGUGAAAGUGGUGGUGACCUGAGGAGGAUUAUGGGACCUGUGAGUGUGCACAAGCAGGAGGACACUGCUGGACCCACGAAGAGGAAAAGGAUCAAGAUGUGAACACCAUGUGGUGACUGACUAGAACGUCUCACCACGAAGGUCCCUCUGAGAGUUCCCAGAAGGACCUGAAUGUAGACUCUGUCGAUAAAAGAUUCAUGAAGGUUUGCUGUGGGAGGAGGAAUUCUAAACACAAACCUUGCUCUGGCUGGUACAGAAGGGAAAGUCAAAAAGAUUUAAAGCACAAGUGGACCUGGCACAUCACUGCUUGCUUGAAGACAGAAGAAAACCCAUGAGAUGGAGUGCAGAUAGUUAUAAGAUGCCAUGAUUGGACCUUGGCUAACACCCAGCAAAGAAAUAGACCCCAUCCCUAAAACUGUGAGGAACUGAAUUCUAGCAACCUGAAUGAGCUUGGAUGCAGACUUCUCCAUAGAGCCUGCAGACAAAAAACCCACCUGGAUAUCAGUUUGAUUUCAGUCUUCUGAUACCCUGAGCAGAGAAUCCACCCAAACUGGGAGCUCUUUGUUAAUAAAUGAGUGUUGUUUUAAGCCCCUAAA